rnacentral:rRNA from 1 species
UACGUAGGGGGCAAGCGUUGUCCGGAUUUAUUGGGCGUAAAGAGCGUGUAGGCGGCUGCACAGGUCCGUUGUGAAAACUGGAGGCUUAACCUUCAGACGUCGAUGGAAACCGUGCGGCUAGAGUCCGGAAGAGGAGAAUGGAAUUCCUGGUGUAGCGGUGAAAUGCGCAGAUAUCAGGAAGAACACCCGUGGUUAAGGCGGUUCUCUAGUACGGUACUGACGCUGAGACGCGAAAGCGUGGGGAGCGAACAGG